UGGCUUAGUUGGUUAAAGCGCCGGUCUAGCGAAUACGGAGUCGUGGGUUCGAAUCCCUC
rnacentral:tRNA from 1 species